CCACACCAGUGAGAAGUCCCACAGCAGCUAAACUUGCACCCAGAAGACCUGCUUCGUCCUCCACAGUUAGCAUGUCUAAACCUGCAGCAUCUGAGAGCCCAGCAGGAGGCAGAAUACCCAAGUGGAACCCGCCAGGUCAAAUUGGUAGAAGUCCCAGACUGUCCCAGAGUCCUGCAGUGAAGUCUCCAGGGCAGGGUCUGCGACUUGGACUGUCCCGUCUUGUUCGAGUUAAACCUCUUCACCCUGGGGUUGCGAGUCACUGAGUGUAGUGAUCUCCAGUUUGCAGAUGCCCCUCUAUGUGUCGAUCAGUGGCGGUAAAAGUGAGGGAUUUGAAUGUGCCGGCUACAGCUGUACCCAGAGGAGGUGUUA